rnacentral:misc_RNA from 1 species
UGGCUCUCGCAUCGAUGAAGAACGCAGCGAAAUGCGAUAAGUAAUGUGAAUUGCAGAAUUCAGUGAAUCAUCGAAUCUUUGAACGCACCUUGCGCCCUUUGGUAUUCCGAAGGGCACACCUGUUUGAGUGUCGUGAAUUCUUCAACCCGUAACUUUCUUAACUGAAGGGUCUAUGGGCUUGGACUUGGAGGCUUUGCUGAUGCUUUGUGGCUCAGCUCCUCUUGAAUAUAUUAGCAAGGCCUGUGCGGCUACUGCCCUUGGUGUGAUAAUUGUCAACGCCAUGGGUGCUGCGAGUGGGACUGGCUUCUAACUGUCGCUUCUGUGACUCUAUCAAAACUUGACCUCAGAUCAGGUGGGACUACCCGCUGA